UCACGAACUCGGGCUCGAGAC
rnacentral:snRNA from 1 species